rnacentral:rRNA from 1 species
UACGUAGGGGGCAAGCGUUGUCCGGAAUCAUUGGGCGUAAAGCGCGUGUAGGCGGCCACGUUAGUCCGCUCUGAAAGCCCGGGGCUCAACCCCGGGAGGCGGGUGGAUACUGCGUGGCUCGAGUCCGGAAGAGGCGAGUGGAAUUCCUGGUGUAGCGGUGAAAUGCGCAGAGAUCAGGAGGAACACCAAUGGCGAAGGCAGCUCGCUGGGACGUGACUGACGAGGAGACGCGAAAGCGUGGGGAGCAAACAGG